rnacentral:rRNA from 1 species
GAGUUUGAUCGUGGCUCAGGACGAACGCUGGCGGCGUGCCUAACACAUGCAAGUCGAACGGAACUUACCGAAUGAAGUCUUCGGAUGGAUUUUGAUAAGUUUAGUGGCGGACGGGUGAGUAACGCGUGAGUAACCUGCCUUCAAGAGGGGAAUAACGUUCUGAAAAGAACGCUAAUACCGCAUAACAUACGGAUGUCGCAUGGCAACCGUAUCAAAGAUUUUAUCGCUUGAAGAUGGACUCGCGUCCGAUUAGCCAGUUGGCGGGUAACGGCCCACCAAAGCGACGAUCGGUAGCCGGACUGAGAGGUUGAACGGCCACAUUGGGACUGAGACACGGCCCAGACU